ACUUGCUCUGCGCUGAGGUGCUGGGACAGCCAUGGUUUCAGACGUUCACUUUAUCCAAAUGCAUAGAUGCCGUGAUGGUGCUGGGAAAUUCGCAUUUAUUCAUGAAUCGUUCCAACAAACUUGCUGUGAUAGCAAGUCACAUUCAAGAAAGCCGAUUCUUAUAUCCUGGAAAGAAUGGCAGACUUGGAGACUUCUUCGGAGACCCUGGCAACCCUCCUGAAUUUAAUCCCUCUGGGAGUAAAGAUGGAAAAUACGAACUUUUAACCUCAGCAAAUGAAGUUAUUGUUGAAGAGAUUAAAGAUCUAAUGACCAAAAGUAACAACUUUUAAACAUUGUUAUUUUGCAAAUAGUGUUGAUUUUGGAGGUCCUUUAGGCUUUAAGUUCAAAGAUGUGAGGUUCUUUAUGUUGUAUGCCUGCACGUUCUCACUUUUUAAAAAUCAUUUUCGUCAAAGUUGGUUCAUUAUUUGCCUAGCCUCUACAGCAUUUGACGCUGCUGAGCAGCCUUUACUUCUGGAAACACGACUUUUGGCUUCUACGAAUGCCCUGUGACCUGUUUUUCCUCUUUUCUUGAAACAUUAUUUCAUA
rnacentral:lncRNA from 10 species